UUUUUUAAUACAGCCCCUUUUACUCUAACACCACUGAAUAAAAGUCACCUUUUGUACACAAUGUGACGAUGAAGGCAAAAGCAGAAUUGGGUUAAUAACUUGACCCUUAUUUUAAAGAGUGAAAGGAAAAGGUAGGACACUAUUGCUCGUCUAGCGUGCUGACAGACAAAUAAGAGUAUUGAUCAAAAAGGCAGUCAAUGAUAAAACUCUGAAGAAGAUUCAGAGAUCCACAGAAUCUGUCAGAAGAGUCAUCCUGAUCAAAGCGUCCUGACUGUAAAACAUGGUGGUAGUGGCAUCAUGCUGUGGGGAGGCUGUUCUUCCUUAGGGACAGUGAGAGCUGAAGGGGAAACAAAUGGAGUCGAGCACAAAAUCGUCUGUGCAGACUCGACACUGUGGCUAAUAUUCACCUUCCAGCAGCACAAAUUUCUUAAAUACAGCCAAAGCUGCCAGUUUGGAUCAAAAAAAAAAUAUGAAUCCGUUAGAAGGGACCAGUUAAAUCCUGGUUGAGAUCCAAUUUAAGACUCCUUGGCAAUCUUUCAAAUAUGUAUGUUUACAGACACUUUUCAUCCAACAUGAUGGCCGCGUUGCAGAGGAGACUGGGCAUUAAUGUCGGUCUCUAAAAGCCGGUGUACCCCCAGAAGACUUGCAGCUGUAAUUACAGUGAAAAGCGGUUCCACGUAGCAAUCAAAGCCCCACGAGCACAAACACUGUUCCUGAAAAACAUCCAUUUGUGAAGCAAUUCUGUAGGACACCAGUCACAUAAAGAAGAGAUUUAUAUCACUGAGCUCCGAUCAGUAACAGCAUUUAAUCUAGUUUCAAAUUGUAUUGAUAUUUGUUGAUGCUCUCAUUGAAGACAUUGAAAACAAUCCCGACAAAAACUGCAGCGAGUUAAAAAAAAAAAAAAAAAACAGAAUCGGAAUUUAUAGUGACAACGAUAAAUAAUAAUAAUAAAAAAUCUUAUCACGAUAAAAGACAGUUCCGUAGCUGCAUUCAGCGAUCGCCACGUAAAGAAUUCAGCAAGUUGUAGUCACUUAAGCUAAGUCCCUCGCAGUUAUUAUGCAUCACUUUUGCAUAUCUCCCAGCUAAUACAGCUGCGUGAUUGUAUUUGCCAUUAGCGGGCUGCGUCACCGUCCCCCUUAUUGGUUUGAAAUUCCAUUAAACAUAUUGCUCCAGCUCCCAGGUUUAAGCUUGAUUUAAAUUUGCAUACAUUUUCAUACAUUUAGAAGAAAUAAAAAGAAGGCUGCAGCAGCCACCAGAAAGUCAUUAGAAGAGCGGAGAGAGGCACAAGCUGCGCAGACGGAGAACCGAGGCUGAGACGGGGGGGGGGAGAGAGAAGAGGCCGGAGCAGGUGCUGCUGGCAGCAGAGGCUGGUGCUGUUACAGGGUCACAGAAAGGAGCCAUGUUGGUUUUAACAAAAAAAAGGGACAUAAAAGUUUACCAUCUGUUAAACUUCAAACUGUCCACACAAACACAGAGCAUCCUGCACAGAGAUCACUGAAGAGGAAAAAAUAAAAAAUAAAAAAUGUAGAGAAACAUGACGUGUGCUCUUCAGCAUCUCCACCCUCCUCCUCCUCUUUCUCUGCCGAGUUUGAGAAGAGCUGAGGCCUCCGAUGGCACCUCGAAGCCAAAUGAAGAAGAAAAAGAGGCCAAAGUUGUUGCAAAAACUUCCCACAUGAAAUUGGCUUUCCUCCUGUGGCUGCCUCCUGGAGAAAUCUCGCUCAAAAGUCAAAAAUGUGGUCGAUGUUUAAUGAAUGGCCCCCGCGAGUUUCGUGCAGGAUGUGAGCAAGUUCUCUGCCACUGCUAAACAACCAGCCGACAUACUUUCCCCCUGUGGAGCACACAAACCCACCCAUCCCCCCACCCCCCACCCCCACACACACACAUGAACCGACAGGUCCCUCUGAAGGAGCAGGCAGAGCUGGCAGUUGCACAUCUGCAUUUCAAACACAGACUCUCUGGGAUUCAUUAUUAAUUAGCCUGCUGAGCCCUGGAGGACUGGUGAUGCUGCCAUCUCUCUCUCUCUUACACACACACACACACACACACACGCACACACACACACACACACACACACACACACGCAGAAAAACACACACAAAAAAUGCUCACACACACACACACACACACACACACACACACCUCGUGACCCCUGUGCCCUCCUCUACACUUUAGAAAGUCCUCAGCUGAAUACCGAGCUGUGCAAGAGCGUUGUUUUUCCUCCCACCCUCCAAUCACGUCGCAUCUUCCUAAUGCCUGCUGCAGGUGCUACAACGUGUCUGCAUCCACCUUCAGGAAAUACACCGCUGCGUCCCUGCAUCCGCCCAGCAUCCACCCGUCUGCCAAUGGAGUUACAGGUGGGCAGUGUGUGAUCUCUCAGCACACUUCAUCACCUCUUCGCCUGCUUCCCUCCGGGCCCCGGUGCGGAUCCAGUCAGGUUUAGAAGCUCUGGCAGCAAUUUGAAUGUAAUUGCAUAAGUGAGCGAGACACCGCCAUCAUCACCGUCUGCCUCCGAACUCUUUCAUGUCGACUGGAAGCCGCUGCUCAGCCGUCACUUUCUAUCUCCAUUCAAGCUAACGCAGCUAACAGCAAAACACUCUCACACACCGCCGCCUCCUUGUGAGGACCAGCGCCUCUCGGACCGGCUGGAUCGGAUUCAGAGCGCUUCCUGGUUUUUGGAGCACUUCCUGGUUUUUGGGGACGGGACGGCGAGUGGUAGAUCCGCUUCCCCACCACACAGCCCGGCCUUUGUUGGAUGCAGAGGGAAGAAUCUGGGCCGAUCGCAAGAAAUCUGCACAAAUGUUGUUACAAGGUCUCGCUCCGAAAGGGAAUUCUCAUUCCCCUCUGCCUCCGCUUGGAACAUUCCCCAUCUUUCUUUCAAAGAGUUGUGCGUGUAUGAUUUUUGGUUUCGUACCAAUUCCACCUGGAGUCUCGGAGCAAAGAAUAACAAAUACGGGAAACAUUUCAUCCAGAAUAAUAUGUUUAUCCAGAGACCUGUGGACUUUGGGAGGAAUGGACCCCCUGUGAUGUGGUCUGCUGCCUGUGUGUGUGUGUGUGUGUGUGUGUGUGUGUGGGUUCCUGUGUGUUUGGGUUGGACGUGUGAGACGGGUGAAGAGACUCUCCACCCCCCAGGGCCAGGAACUCUAGGUACAGAGGAAGAGAGACCAACACACUCUCAGAUUUCCAGAGUGUGUGUGUGUGUGUGUGUGUGAACGCUGAUAUGUAUCUGUGAUACAGGAUGUGACAAAAAGUGGGCAAACAGGCAGGGCACUAAUGUGGUAAAAACUAGAAGUAUCUCAGUUAUGCUUCUUAAAACAUUUUGUCUUAAAAACCUCCAGGACUUUCAGAGAGCAGCUGAACUGAUGCUGAGAUGAAAUCACACAAAGCUGGACACAAAUAACUCAUGUUCACAUGGCAACCCCAUCGUAAGCAUUUAAAGUAGCAUUUUAUUUUAUCAUCCACAGUUUGUUGUUAGCCUGUCUGCUAAUAGCAUGACGACUUAUGAUGGACAAGAUGUCUCCCUCAAACUUGAUUUUUAUUCGAUUGUUGUGUCUCUGAUGUGAAAGAUAACAACCUGAACUGAAUUUAUAGCAGAUAUGUUCUGAAAACAACAAAUAAAAUGUCUGUUUCCAGUCCUGAU